rnacentral:lncRNA from 1 species
UGGGCAUCCCCAAUGCUGAGGCGAGAUUUCGAUUAAUCACCGUAGAAUAUGCCAUGUGGCUACCUUGUCUCACCGUCCGCGAACUUAUCAAAUUCCAUCCCAUACUCCAACCUAUAUAUAUCCUCUAACCCUUCUACGGACAAUUCUCUCCCUUUUCUCUCUCUGGAAAAAUAUUCGUUCUGUGUUUAGAUUAUAUAUCGUAACGGUGGUAUAAAUUCAGAAAACCCUAUUUUCUUGAAUCCCAUUUCUUGAAUUACUCAAAUGUUGCUCUUAUUGUGCUUCAUUUGAAUGGUUAUGAGAGUUUUAUUGAUAGGAAGAGAGUGUUUCUUUGUUGAAGAAAUUCAAGAUUCAAUUUUUAAUGGAGGAACCAAUAGGAAGAAGGUUUCGAAUAGGCUACGCUUUGGCUCCCAAGAAACAAGCCAGCUUCGUUCAGGUUUCUCUCAUAAAUCUUGCUAAAGAGAGAGGCAUCGAUCUUAUCAAGAUCGACCUCGAAAAGCCCUUAAUCGAUCAGGGUCCUUUUGAUUGCAUUCUUCACAAAAUUUACAGUCCCAGUUGGAAACAACAGUUAUCUGACUAUGCGAUAAAGAAUCCUAAUGUCCCUAUAAUUGAUUCUCCCAAUGCCAUUGAGAGGCUGCACAAUAGAAUUUCCAUGCUUGAGGUGGUUACCGAGAUUAAUGUUGAGUACAAGACACUGUUAUUUGGGAUUCCAAAGCAGAUUGUAAUUUAUGAUGCGAAAGCUGUCGAGGAAUUGAAUCUUGAGGCUGAGGGCUUGAAGUUUCCAGUGAUAGCGAAGCCGUUGGUGGCAGAUGGGAGUGCAAAGUCGCACAAGAUGUCCUUGGUUUUUAACAAGGAUGGGUUGAGUAAGCUGAAGCCGCCGGUUGUCUUGCAGGAGUUUGUGAACCAUGGGGGUGUGAUCUUUAAGGUGUAUGUAGUGGGAGACUAUGUCAAGUGUGUGAAGAGAAAGUCUCUACCAGAUGUGAACGAGGAGAAUUUGGGAAAUUCUGAGGCGUCACUGUCCUUUUCACAAGUCUCGAAUUUGAAUAGUGUGGAGAGGGCUGAUGACAAGUAUUAUAGAAUGAUGGACUUGGAAGAUGAAAAGACAGAGUUUCCUGCAAUGAGCUUCUUGGUUAAUAUAGCUAGUGGGUUGAGGGGUGCAAUGGGUUUGCGUUUGUUUAACUUUGACUUGAUUAGGGAUGUGCGGAUUGGGAAUAGGUACCUUGUGAUCGACAUUAACUAUUUUCCUGGAUAUGCAAAGAUGCCCUGCUAUGAGCGUGUUCUGACAGAUUUUUUCUGGGAUAUUUUGAACAAUAAUUAUGAUAAUAAGAUGGUCCUGAAUCUGGAAAGUUUAAAUAUGGGUACUUGCCAGAUGGAAGUUAGAAAGUUGGUUAGUAAUAGUGAACGUGACAAGGAUGAUGGAGUAACAAAUCUUCCCGUUUCUCCAAUAAAGCGGGAAGAAAAGGAGAGUUCCAUUCAAGUAUGAGAGAAUGCUUAUUAAAGUAAUAGUGUCAUGUGGUUAGUGGAGGGCUUGUCGGCAAACAUGGGUCAAUGGAAUUUGCUUUCUGCUGGUUGAUGGCCUUGAAGCAAGCCAUGUUGCACUUCCUUUAGAUGGUAGAAUUAGUACAGUGGUUAAUUAUUAGGUUUCUUCACUUUGAUUCUGAUGCAAUCGGCAUUAAUGGAGUGCUCUGUGUUAAUCAUGUACAUUCGAGUUGUUGGGUUGAGGAUAGUAUCAAUGGGGACAAUAGGUAUUUCUCAAAUACUAUUAAGUCUUUAGGAAUGUUAAGUUUUACUUCAAGGCAAAUGUAUUUCCUGGCUUAGAAAACCUUUCUGAUGUUAGCUUCAGCAACGUCAAUCAAUGAAUCGUGCGAUUUUGUCCAUGAUUGUCCACUUUAAUUCUGCCUUUCAUAAUGUGUGAUUGAUGGGUUCUUAUCAUACGCCCUGUUUUAAGAGUGCAACUCCAUGCUUAAACUGAGAUUUAUUGUCUAUUGUCCUUAUGAAAAUUGUAUUUGUGUAAGCAUAUAUAAAACACUGAAUUAUUUGAGAGACACUUAAUAAAUUGUCUUAUAAUAAUUCUCCCUGAAUAUUCCCUUUCAGCUAAGCGAGUUGUUCCUCAUUCGAAGAAAACUUUCUUUCUCAAACAAUAGUUACUAUAUAUGUCAAUCUGGUUAUAUAUCCUAUUAAAUAUUUACUGUGUUUCUUUGUUCCCUGAUGGAAGCUUUGAUGAUAGUGGGCCAGCCCACCGGUAAGCCAACCUGUGGGGAGUGAAGAACCAUUUUAUUUUUACUUUUUCAUGUUUUAUAUAAGGAUUGUUUGCGUGAUUCAGAAUUAGGGUCAUGCAGUUCUAAUAGCCGGGAGGCUGAUACUGUUGAUUCUGCCUUUGACUACAUGGUGUAUAUGUGUGUGUGUGUUUUAAGAGCAAAACAUGAAACUGACCAAUGAAAUCAGUUUACUUUCAGAUAUUAAUUUUGUUUCGUUCAAAUAAUUGCAUACCAAUCUUAACUUUUUAAAUUUAAUUCUUUUGAAGAACUAUGGAUUAUUGAUGCUGUAUAAUUUUUCUCCAUCAGGUUUUGGUCUUUCUGUGUUAGAAGUGGCAUGCAAGUGAUCUAC